rfam:Saccharopolyspora erythraea NRRL2338 complete genome
GGGGGUGAACGGUUUCGACUCCGUACGUUGAUCCAAGGGAAGCGUGCCGGUGCAGGCGGAAGACCACCGAAAGCGUCGCCGCAACCAAAUAAGCGCCGACAAGAGUCAGCGCGAGUUCGCCCUCGCCGCCUGAGCGAGGAGCGACUCUGUCGGACCGGGAACGCCUCCGUCCCGGAAUCCGGCAUCAUCUAGGAGGCUCUUACCGCCAGGUUCGGCCGCGGAACCUGGCGGGACACCAAACAGCGGCUGGGCUCGUCACACCGGCUGGUUCGUGAGACCGGUGGAGCCAAGCAGAGGCACAGCGAACUGCGCACGGAGAAGUCUUGGUGAAGCGGCGGAGGACCCGGGUUCGAUUCCCGGCACCUCCACUU